rnacentral:misc_RNA from 1 species
GAACGCGGCUUUCACAUUAGAAUUAGUAAACCCUUACAAACAAAACAAGGAACAAAAUUUGAGGCUUCCAAAAGCAACAGAGGAAAGAAACAUAUUCAAAUAAAACCACAAAAUGUAGAUUGUAGCCAAACAAAAGCACGAAGAAAGGCAUCACAACAAUGCAUUACAGAUUAUGAGUAAAACAACAAAAAUUGAGAGCACCCAAUAGGAA